rnacentral:rRNA from 1 species
GUGUCAGCAGCCGCGGUAAUACGUAGGCAGCAAGCGUUGUUCGGAAUUACUGGGCGUAAAGAGUUCGUAGGCGGUGCGGCAAGUUCGGUGUGAAAUCUCCCGGCUCAACUGGGAGGGUGCGCUAAAUACUGCCGUGCUCGAGUAUAGGAGAGGUAAGCGGAAUUCCUGGUGUAGCGGUGAAAUGCGUAGAUAUCAGGAGGAACACCUGUGGUGUAGACGGCUUACUGGACUAUAACUGACGCUGAGGAACGAAAGCGUGGGUAGCAAACAGGAUUAGAAACCCGUGUAGUCC